GCUCAGGAUGAACGCUGGCGGCGUGCUUAACACAUGCAAGUCGAACGGGAAUUACUUUAUUGAAACUUCGGUCGAUUUAAUUUAAUUCUAGUGGCGGACGGGUGAGUAACGCGUGGGUAACCUGCCUUAUACAGGGGGAUAACAGUCAGAAAUGGCUGCUAAUACCGCAUAAGCGCACAGAGCUGCAUGGCUCAGUGUGAAAAACUCCGGUGGUAUAAGAUGGACCCGCGUUGGAUUAGCUGGUUGGUGGGGUAACGGCCCACCAAGGCGACGAUCCAUAGCCGGCCUGAGAGGGUGAACGGCCACAUUGGGACUGAGACACGGCCCAGACUCCUACGGGAGGCAGCAGUA
rnacentral:rRNA from 1 species